rnacentral:rRNA from 1 species
AGGGUUUGAUCCUGGCUCAGGAUGAACGCUGGCGGCGUGCUUAACACAUGCAAGUCGAACGGGAAACCUUUUAUUGAAGCUUCGGCAGAUUUAGAUUGUUUCUAGUGGCGGACGGGUGAGUAACGCGUGGGUAACCUGCCUUAUACAGGGGGAUAACAGUCAGAAAUGACUGCUAAUACCGCAUAAGCCCACGGCUCGGCAUCGAGCAGAGGGAAAAGGAGUGAUCCGCUUUGAGAUGGCCUCGCGUCCGAUUAGCUAGUUGGUGAGGUAACGGCCCACCAAGGCGACGAUCGGUAGCCGGACUGAGAGGUUGAACGGCCACAUUGGGACUGAGACACGGCCCAG